CCACUAUAAGACUGGGAUAACUUCGGGAAACCGGAGCUAAUACCGGAUAAUAUAUUGAACCGCAUGGUUCAAUAGUGAAAGACGGUUUUGCUGUCACUUAUAGAUGGAUCCGCGCCGCAUUAGCUAGUUGGUAAGGUAACGGCUUACCAAGGCAACGAUGCGUAGCCGACCUGAGAGGGUGAUCGGCCACACUGGAACUGAGACACGGUCCAG
rnacentral:rRNA from 1 species